UACGUAGGGUGCGAGCGUUAAUCGGAAUUACUGGGCGUAAAGCGUGCGCAGGCGGUUCGUUGUGUCGGUGGUGAAAUCCCCGGGCUUAACCUGGGAAUGGCCAUGGAAACUGGCGAACUGGAGUGCGGCAGAGGGGGGUGGAAUUCCGCGUGUAGCAGUGAAAUGCGUAGAGAUGCGGAGGAACAUCGAUGGCGAAGGCAGCCCCCUGGGCUAGCACUGACGCUCAGGCACGAAAGCGUGGGGAGCAAACAGG
rnacentral:rRNA from 1 species